rnacentral:rRNA from 1 species
UGCAGUCGACGAGUGNGANUACUUAGUGGCGGACGGGUGAGUAACGCGUAAGAAUCUGGCUUCAGGUUCGGGACAACCACUGGAAACGGUGGCUAAUACCGGAUGUGCCUUGAGGUAAAAGGUUUACCGCCUGAAGAUGAGCUUGCGUCUGAUUAGCUAGUUGGUGUGGUAAGAGCGCACCAAGGCGACGAUCAGUAGCUGGUCUGAGAGGAUGAUCAGCCACACUGGGACUGAGACACGGCCCAGACUCCUACGGGAGGCAGCAGUGGGGAAUUUUCCGCAAUGGGCGAAAGCCUGACGGAGCAAGACCGCGUGAGGGAGGAAGGCUCUUGGGUCGUAAACCUCUUUUCUCUGGGAAUAAGAAAGUGAANGUACCAGAGGAAUCAGCAUCGGCUAACUCCGUGCCAGCAGCCGCGGNAAUACGGAGGAUGCAAGCGUUAUCCNGNAAUGAUUGGGCGUAAAGAGUCCGUAGGUGGUGAUUUCAAGUC